AUGGGGGAACCGGUGUGGCUCAGCGGCUGGGGGCCAGCCUGGGGUGGAGAGCAACCCCCCGCCCCCCUAGAGCCCAGUCCCAGCCCCUCCAGCUACAGAAGGCCACAGGGGCUGGGACAAAACCCUCCAGCUAAGUGGCCCAGAGAUCAGGCCAGAAGUGAAGGCCAAGGCUCAAGGUCAGGUCCCCUGCCGCCACCCCAUCCUCUGUGCCCCAAUAGGGCCCCCAGCCCCUGCCACACAAGUCCCCUCCCCUCAGGGCCGGGCACUGCAGGCAACCCCAAGGCAUGCCAGAUAAGACCCACAGAGCCCAGCGGCCCUUGCCCCACGGCAGCAGACACCAGGGAGACGCAUCCAGAGCAGGGAAUGGUGGAGCCACUGCGUCGCAGGGCCAGCUCAGGUCACUCAGCGGGAGGAGCCGGCUCUGCCUCCCCCAGCCCCGCUGACACUGGAGGCCUCGGUCACCCAGAAGGCUCAGGUCACAGGGGCCCCGGCCCAGGCCCACCCACGCUGGCCCUCGCCCAAAUCUGCCCUGAGGUUGCUGGAGUGGGUGCACCCGAGGUCUGUCUGGGGCGGAGGGCGGGGAGGGGCAGGAGCGGGACUCACCAGGCGGCUUCAUGUAGUACUGCUCGAUGUCCGCCAUGUCCGUGUGCAGCGCGCACUCCAGGUAGGCACGGAUCACCUUGCGGCUGUAGUAGUAGCGCAGGCCCAGCAGUGCGGCCGGCACCAGGCACGUCAGCAGCAGCGAGCGGCUCACGGCGAAGCACAGCGCUGCGGGCAGAGGGCGCGGGUCAGCGGCGCGGCGGGGGUCCCCAGGCCCUAGGAGACGCCGCGCCCGGGUGGAGGAGCCGGGGUCAUCUCGGGUGCUUUCUACUUCUCCCUAUUUCCAAGCUUCCUGCGGUAAAGACAACCACCCCACCCACCCCCACCGCCUGGAACAAGCCUCCAAACACGGCAGGGCACCCUUGGGGUGCCCGGGCUGGGAAGGGCCCUGCCCACGCUGACCUGCUGAAGCCAAGGUGGGCAGAUUCUGCCAGGGAGCUGCCCCGCACACCAGGCCCCGCACGGGGGAGGGGAAGGGGGAAGGGAAGUCCCACGUUCGCGCACCGGGCCCUAGGCCCCCCUCUUCCCAGGGCCCCAGCAAGAGCCCUUCCUGGCUAG
rnacentral:lncRNA from 1 species